AACUGAUACUACCUGCGGGAACCUGCGGAGGGAUCAUUACCGAGUUUACAACUCCCAAACCCAAUGUGAACGUUACCAAACUGUUGCCUCGGCGGGAUCUCUGCCCCGGGUGCGUCGCAGCCCCGGACCAAGGCGCCCGCCGGAGGACCAACCAAAACUCUUUUGUAUACCCCCUCGCGGGUUUUUAUAUAUCUGAGCCAUCUCGGCGCCUCUCGUAGGCGUUUCGAAAAUGAAUCAAAA
rnacentral:misc_RNA from 1 species